rnacentral:rRNA from 1 species
AGUGAACGCUGGCGGUAGGCCUAACACAUGCAAGUCGAACGGCAGCACAGUAAGAGCUUGCUCUUACGGGUGGCGAGUGGCGGACGGGGGAGGAAUACAUCGGAAUCUACUUUUUCGUGGGGGAUAACGUAGGGAAACUUACGCUAAUACCGCAUACGACCUACGGGUUAAAGCAGGGGAUCUUCGGACCUUGCGCGAUUGAAUGAGCCGAUGUCGGAUUAGCUAGUUGGCGGGGUAAAGGCCCACCAAGGCGACGAUCCGUAGCUGGUCUGAGAGGAUGAUCAGCCACACUGGAACUGAGACACGGUCCAGACUCCUACGGGAGGCAGCAGUGGGGAAUAUUGGACAAUGGGCGCAAGCCUGAUCCAGCCAUACCGCGUGGGUGAAGAAGGCCUUCGGGUUGUAAAGCCCUUUUGUUGGGAAAGAAAAGCAGCAGGUUAAUACCCCGCUGUUCUGACGGUACCCAAAGAAUAAGCACCGGCUAACUUCGUG